AAGUCGUAACAAGGUUUCCGUAGGUGAACCUGCGGAAGGAUCAUUAAUAAUGUGAUUUAGCAAAACCGUAAGGUUUUGCGAAACUUGUAUUUAAAACCCUUCACACUUGUAAAAACAAUAUUUUUAUUAUAAAAAAAUAAAAAAGAUCACUUUCAACAACGGAUCUCUUGGCUCUC
rnacentral:misc_RNA from 1 species